AUAUUUCAUGAUUAUCCUAACCCAACUUCAUAAAUGAAAAUAAUUUUUACGAUUUUGAAUAUUCGAAUUAUAGCUUCUUUCUUCUGUUGUUAUAUUAUGUACCGCGUGGUGUCAGGAUUGUCAACAAAGGCGUCUGAAGUGGGGAUAAAUGGUCGUGGCGAAGGACUACCCGUCUUGCCCCUGUGCCGUCCCGCGAAACUUCUUUCCAGCGUGAACAGUAGUUGAUAUUUCUACGAAGAAGAGAAUGGUGGGAAUUUUCGUUCUGAUCUGUUUUGCCGAUUGAAAGAUUUCUGGUGUAUCUAUCGAUCAGUAUAUAUCUUGAUAUAUCGUACAUUGGCUAGGAUUAUGCGAGCAGUUGAAUUAAUAAAAAAUAAUUACAAUCGUUUCCAUUGCAAAUAAUAAAAGUGUGGAAUAACGAUAAGUGUAAACUGUUUGGUAACUGUAAAGUGCGUUUUUGAAUAAUCAAAUUUCCAGGCUACAAUAAUAUACAAACGUUUUAUAAGCGUGCAAUCAUAAAAUCAAACAUUUCACUUAUUUACAACACGUUUCCAACUGUUCGACAAGUUUCGAUCGUCAAUUAUUUUUUAUCGUCAAUUAACUGUCCCCUUAAUAAUUUUUUUUUAUCGGGAUUCAAUGUAAGUGAACGCAACCUGGAAGAUUAUUUAAAUUAGCCUAGCUUUAACAACAGUUUGUUUAUUCCUCUCUUCGUGAAUAAUCCAUUAAAAAAUUAUUUUACGAGAUUCCAAGACAAGGCGAGUGAAAGAAGUGAUUCCAACAAUUUUCUUAUAAUAAUCUUAUUUGAAAAGAAGAAUCUUGAAACGAAAAAUGAUGAAACCAGAUGAUGUUAAUGAUGAUGAUGAUGAUGAUGAUGAUGGAAUUCUCUCUUCUUUAUUUAUGGGUAGAGAAAGAUUACGCAACAUUUAUUGUCUUGGCUUUGUGUCGAAUUUUUAACCGAGGAAAUUAGAUUAGCAUUGUUACUUAUAUAAUACAAAAAAAAAAUAAAUAAUAUUCCAUUCAUAACGUUAUUCGGUAUUACGUGACCUGUAUACAAUAUAAAAAGAGAUUAUGCUAUAUUCACAAAAGACAAUAACAACAAGUACACCAAGUUCAAGUAAAAUUAAUCUCUUUCUUUAAAAGGAUUCAAUUCAUUUCCAAUUUUAAUUUUUCUUAAAAAAACUUGAAUUCAUCUCUCGAUACAAACACAACAAUAGCAACAGAAAAUAUUUUAUCCACGAGAUGCCUACUCGUAAGAGAAAAAAUUCCACUUUUCUCUGUCACUUUAUCGUAUACCUCUAAUUAACAUGGAGUGGAAAAAAUGCGAGGCAAUUAUCCGCGUUAAAACCAAGCUGGCUCAUUGGCUCCGUUAAAGUUCACGCGAAGAGAACGAAGGGGAUAUAUAUAUAUAUAUAUAUAUUAUCGAAGCUCGUCGAGGCUUUCUGGAUGACUAGCGAUUUCGAUGACCUUAAAUUUCCCGUGAAAUGAGAAAUACGCGUGAUUCAUCCGUCGAG